rnacentral:rRNA from 1 species
GACGAACGCUGGCGGCGUGCUUAACACAUGCAAGUCGAACGGAAAGGCCCUGCUUUUGUGGGGUGCUCGAGUGGCGAACGGGUGAGUAACACGUGAGUAACCUGCCCUUGACUUUGGGAUAACUUCAGGAAACUGGGGCUAAUACCGGAUAGGAGCUCCUGCUGCAUGGUGGGGGUUGGAAAGUUUCGGCGGUUGGGGAUGGACUCGCGGCUUAUCAGCUUGUUGGUGGGGUAGUGGCUUACCAAGGCUUUGACGGGUAGCCGGCCUGAGAGGGUGACCGGCCACAUUGGGACUGAGAUACGGCCCAGACUCCUACGGGAGGCAGAAGUGGAGAAUAUUGCACAAUGGGCGGAAGCCUGAUGCAGCAACGCCGCGUGCGGGAUGACGGCCUUCGGGUUGUAAACCGCUUUCGCCGGUGACGAAGCGUGAGUGACGGUAAUGGGUAAAGAAGCACCGGCUAACUACGUG